CAUUAACUACAUGUGGCCACUGGGCACUUGAAACAUGGAGAGCUCAUGUGCCCACAUCAUUUCACUCAAAGAAGGAAAGCAGAGUGGGCUAGUGAGGAAGCACCACUGCCUUUAACCCAACAUUUAACCUCUUGGUGGCUCAUUGUUCUGUAAAAGCUACACAUCUGCAAGAGGACAGAUUUUCUUCAUACAUUUCAACCAAAACAAUAUACAGCAACAGAAUGAAUGCAGAAGCAGUUCUCCAUGACUUAGGUUCCUCCACUGAGAAAUGGAGUGAAGACUAAUAGCUACCUAAAAGGGUCAUCGUGACAAUUAAAUGAGUUCAUAUGUGCAUAUAAAGACUGGACACAGAAUCUUAUACAGAGAAAACACUCAUAACAGGCUCUCCAAGGAAAAAGAAGGAAUCCACUGCUGACGACACUCAGUCCUCUCAGGGUUGCUGACAUCCCACAAAACAACUGGACCCCAGCCUCCAUGACACCUGGACGUGCAAAGAGAAGGACUGAGCGAACUAUAGAGCUGCUGCAUCUUUUAAA